rnacentral:rRNA from 1 species
GACGGGGGGGGCAAGUGUUCUUCGGAAUUACUGGGCGUAAAGCGUGCGCAGGCGGUUCGGAAAGAAAGAUGUGAAAUCCCAGAGCUUAACUUUGGAACUGCAUUUUUAACUACCGAGCUAGAGUGUGUCAGAGGGAGGUGGAAUUCCGCGUGUAGCAGUGAAAUGCGUAGAUAUGCGGAGGAACACCGAUGGCGAAGGCAGCCUCCUGGGAUAACACUGACGCUCAUGCACGAAAGCGUGGGGAGCAAACAGG